AAGAUAGAUAGGUCUGAAUCUGAAAGGGACCGGGAGAGUUAGAAGAAGUCAAAUCGAAAGAAUGGCGAUAAUGAGAGGGAAGCCGUUGGUGGCGAAGCUGGCAGCGGUGGCUAUGUACGUGGUUCUUCCAGGAGCCAUGCUUGCUGCCGUCGUCUAUUCACCUCCUCCUUAUGAAUCUUCUUCCAAGUCCGAUAAACCUCGCCAUUUACAUCGUCUUCUUUAACUGCGAUCAGGAACAUUUUCGAGGAAUGCUUAGGAAUCCAUUGUUAAAUGGUUCUGCUCUUUUUGAUAUAAUGGGGUAUGUGAUGAUCACCAUAUAAGAAUUAACGGCUAUGCUAUGUAGGUAUGUAGAGUUGAUGUUUGUUUUCUUCCGUCAAGAAACUCGAGUCCUGAGUCUUUAUUUUUUCCUUUUUGUGUAGCAAACUUUGUUGAAAAUAAAAUGCUAUCCUGCAAUUUAAUGGUUGCCCCCUUUAUUGCAUUGUGAAUUGUAUAAAAUUUGAUCGCCUUUGAAUUACUUGUGUAA